rnacentral:rRNA from 1 species
UCCAUAGGUUAAUGAGGCGAACCGGGGGAACUGAAACAUCUAAGUACCCCGAGGAAAAGAAAUCAACCGAGAUUCCCCCAGUAGCGGCGAGCGAACGGGGAGGAGCCCAGAGCCUGAAUCAGCAUGUGUGUUAGUGGAAGCGUCUGGAAAGGCGCGCGAUACAGGGUGACAGCCCCGUACACAAAAGCGCAUGUGCUGUGAGCUCGAUGAGUAGGGCGGGACACGUGGUAUCCUGUCUGAAUAUGGGGGGACCAUCCUCCAAGGCUAAAUACUCCUGACUGACCGAUAGUGAACCAGUACCGUGAGGGAAAGGCGAAAAGAACCCCGGCGAGGGGAGUGAAAAAGAACCUGAAACCGUGUACGUACAAGCAGUGGGAGCACCCUUCGGGGUGUGACUGCGUACCUUUUGUAUAAUGGGUCAGCGACUUAUAUUCUGUAGCAAGGUUAACCGUAUAGGGGAGCCGGAGGGAAACCGAGUCUUAAU